GCAGACUCUGUGAAUGAAGACCCAUGCAGCAAAGAACUAGAGGCAUCUGAAGACCUUCCUUAGGGAGCCAAGUCCCUUAUGUUCUUGAAAAAUGCUCAAAGAACAAAGCAGGCACAUACAGGGAUAAAUUGAGCCUGAUUAUACCCUCCAAAGUGAAAGGGGAAAAAAAUUCCAAAUUCUGCACAAAGAAAGUAUGUGGUCAGAUUUGGUGGCAGUGUUGGGACCCAAAGUGAACUUCUGCUGGCUUUUGAGGACAAUGAGAAACACAGGUGUUUUACCAGUGAAUCCCUUUUUGAGUUCACUCUCUUUCUUGCUGUUUCUGAGGGCUGUGGGUUUUGAUUACUUAAGAAAAUUGAGUCUUUUCUAUUAAAAAAGGUUUAAGAAAAUCUUUUUCUCUUUUCUCUUAAUGUUAUCAGCAAAUUUGUAAGAUAUGGCUUUGUAAAAAAAAGAUGAAUCGUUUACUAUUCUCCCUUCCUGAUCUCUCCAGAAUUUAGAAACUCCUAGAUAUUCUUUUCAUAGCUAUAUAGUUAAUUAUUUACAUAUGUUUGAUAAUAAUAUGUUCUCCUUGUUAUAAACAGAAUUGGAACAUUGGUUAUAUUACCAAAGCUUUAACUGAAAUGUCAUAUAUGAGAAAGAUAGGCAUAAAACUCAGAUGUGACCAGUUAGCUUUAAGGAACUAAGGUUGACUUUUAUGGAGACAAUAAAGCCCUGGACUCAGAGGUUUUUAAGAGUUCAAUCUAAAAUUCCUUAUGAAAAGUUUUAACAAAGCAAUCUUAAAAAGAUUUCAUGUGGUUGAUCACUAUUCUUGUUUCACUUACAUAAAAAUCAGCUCAAAUUUUAUGCAAGCAUAUUUUUAUUGUAAUUAUCCUUAAAAAGUGGGGGUAAUUAUAGAGAGAAAAAUUAUGUUUUCAUAGUCUAGUCCUGUUAAUUGUCAUUAAGGUUUUGUUAUAUACCUGUAAACUGGACUGGAUCCUGAAUUCUUCUAGUUUUGUAAAAAUCUGGCUAUGAAAUCUCCAAACUAAUGUUUCCAGUUUUCUUCCACCUUUCUUAUUUGAAAUCAAGAAGAAUAAAAACUGACUUUGAUAUUUUAUACCAAGUUCUCACUAAACUUUAAGGAUGGACUUGAGACUUGAGUACUCAUCUCAUAGCUGAGGAGGACUCUUUCUGACAUCUGGUGCUAUGCAGAUGCUGGAGACUUCAGAAUCAAAUUGCUGAGGAAAAGAAAUAGUUGGCACCAAUGCAGACUGCUUCCUUCCAAGGUGCCAGAUCAAGAAGUCAUUCUCCAGAUGCAAACUAGUGUACAUAGGAUGAAUAAACAAUGAGGUCCUGGUUAGUAGUACAAACUAUUGCAUUUGGAGUGGAUAAGCAAUGAAAUCCUGCUGUAUAGCCCAAGGAACUAUAUCUGACCACUUGUGAUGGGACAUCAUAGAGGAUAAUGUAAAAAAAGAACAUGUGUGUGUAUAUGUGUAUGUUACUUUGCUGUACAGAAGAAAUUGACAGAACAUUAUAAAUAAACUAUAAUAAAAAAUUCCAUAAUCAGGCAGUUGAUGGAAAUGAUAAUCACAGAUGGUUAAUAACUGGAUGUGCAAACUAUUGUAUUUGGAGUGAUAAACAAUGAGUUCCUUCGGUAUAGCACAGGGAACUAUAUCCAGUCACUUGUGAUGGAACAUGAUGGAGGAUAAUGUGAGAAAAAGAAUGUAUAAUAUGUGUAAAUGAGCCACUUUUGCGUAUAGCAGAAAUUGACAGAACAUUGUAAAUCAAUUAUAAUAAACAUAAAUUAUAAAAAA
rnacentral:lncRNA from 1 species